rnacentral:lncRNA from 1 species
GGUUGUAUUAAUAGACAUACAGUAGCCAUAAUAAAGAAGAUAAACGUUCCCCCAUCUUCUAUAACCUAAAUGAGAAAGGAAUUGGUGAUGGUUAGCCUGGAGAAAGAAGGGAUUGGUGGAAGCACGGUGACAUUAGAACGCAUCAUAAACAUAUCUGUAGCAUGGGACAAUUGACCUGCCUAGAAGACGACUGGGCCAGGAGCAUGACAUAAUUUCAAGUCAGUUGAAGAAAAUAGAAAAGGAACUGCUGAGUAGACGUACUGGUCCAAGAACAGUGAAAGACAUGUAAAGCAGAUGUAACCCCAAACAACAGCUGAAGAAGAGUUGCCCAACUCCGCCAGCCUAGAUCAAACUGCAGUCAAAUGUACACCCUUGAGCAUGGGAAUAAAUUCAUGUUUUUGUAAAUCAUGA